rnacentral:rRNA from 1 species
CCCGCUGAACUUAAGCAUAUCAAUAAGCGGAGGAAAAGAAACCAACCGGGAUUACCUCAGUAACGGCGAGUGAAGCGGUAACAGCUCAAAUUUGAAAUCUGGCCUCGGCCCGAGUUGUAAUUUGUAGAAGAUGCUUCGGGUGUGGCUCCGGUCUAAGUUCCUUGGAACAGGACGUCAUAGAGGGUGAGAAUCCCGUAUGUGACUGGGUGCCUCCGCCUGUGUGAAGCUCUUUCGACGAGUCGAGUUGUUUGGGAAUGCAGCUCAAAAUGGGUGGUAUAUUUCAUCUAAAGCUAAAUAUUGGCCAGAGACCGAUAGCGCACAAGUAGAGUGAUCGAAAGAUGAAAAGCACUUUGGAAAGAGAGUUAAACAGUACGUGAAAUUGUUGAAAGGGAAGCGUUUGCAACCAGACUUGCGCGCUGCCGAUCAUCCGGUGUUCUCACCGGUGCACUCGGUUGCGUUCAGGCCAGCAUCGGUUUGGGUGGCUGGAUAAAGGCCUUGGGAAUGUAGCUUCUUUCGGGGAGUGUUAUAGCCCUGGGUGCAAUGCAGCCUACCUGGACCGAGGACCGCGCCUCGGCUAGGAUGCUGGCGUAAUGGUUGUAAACGACCCGUCUUGAAACACGG